UCAAUUACAAUAGAGGUAAGUGUUUUACAAUUUUUUUUGUUGAACAAUAUUGGAAAUAUCUAAAGUCUUACCUUUUGGUCGAGGUGUCGAAUUCAAAUUAGUAUCUUCUUCCCAAUAAUUUCUCGAUAAUGGAAUAAGUUGGUUCAACUGAGAAGAAACAGGAUACUCGAUGAUGGACGAUUCGGGUCGUUGCUUGUCGCAUUAGCCUGAAAAUAAAUGAAGAUAUUCAAAAAUUAAUAAAUUUAAAAACUAAUUUAAAAACAUUUAUUAAACUCACAUGUAUAUUGUCAAUUAACCGUUGUUCCAUCAUUUUAAAUCGUUUUUCGUUUUCUAUUUCGAACGCUUCCAUUCGUUUUUCAACGGCUUUGGAAACUGACAAUUCAAAUUCUUCAGUGUUGUGCUUCUCAGUUUCCUCAUUGCUCAUUUUCUUUCUCCUCUUAUUUGAUAACAUAGAGUCAUUGCCAACUCUAAAUCCCAGAAUGCGCCCAUUUUUCUUUCCCUUUGAUGCUUUCAGCCAAGGUCCAAUAUGAUCGUUUUUAAACAGAGGCUUCGUAUGAAAUGUAGUUGAAC
rnacentral:lncRNA from 1 species